UACAGAGGGUGCAAGCGUUGUUCGGAAUUAUUGGGCGUAAAGGGUGCGUAGGCGGCGGAGUAAGUUGGGUGUGAAAUCCCGGGGCUCAACCUCGGAAUGGCAUUCAAUACUGCUUCGCUAGAGUACUGGAGAGGAGGCUGGAAUUUACGGUGUAGCAGUGAAAUGCGUAGAUAUCGUAAGGAAGGCCGGUGGCGAAAGCGAGCCUCUGGACAGUUACUGACGCUGAUGCACGAAGGCCAGGGGAGCAAACGGG
rnacentral:rRNA from 1 species